UCCCUGACAUAGAUCUUUAGUCAGUAGAGCAUGAGACUGUUCAUCUCAAGGUCGUGGGUUCAAGUCCUGCGUUGGCUGAA